rnacentral:rRNA from 1 species
GAUGAACGCUGGCGGCGUGCCUAAUACAUGCAAGUCGAGCGAACGGACGAGAAGCUUGCGGCUCUGAUGUUAGCGGCGGGCGGGAGAGAAACACGUGGAUAACCUACCUAUAAGACUGGGAUAACUUCGGGAAACCGGAGCUAAUACCGGAGAAUAUUUUGAACCGCAGGGUUCAAAAGUGAAAGACGGUCUUGCUGUCACUAAUAGAUGGAUCCGCGCUGCAUUAGCUGGUUGGUAGGGUAAAGGCUUACCAAGGCAACGAUGCAUGGCCGAGCGCAUAGGGUGAUCGGCCACACUGGAGCGGGGACACGGUCCAGGCUACUGCGGGAGGCCGCAGUAGCGAAUCUUCCGCAGCGGGCGAAAGCCUGACGGAGUAACGCCGCGUGUGUGAUGAAGGCCCUCGGAUCGUAAAACUCUGUUAUUAGUUAUGAACAUAUGUGUACUUAACUGUGCAGAGCGUGACGGUACCUAAUCAGAAAGCCACGGCUAACUACGUG